AUGGAGGAGGUGGCGCCGCGUCGAAAUAAUUUGCCUCUGCUCUUCCUCCAUCUCGUCGUCGCUGCAACUGGUGGCGUCGGGGGGCAGGUGGCCCGGUCGUCUCGCCGAUCUCUGUAUCCGGCGAGGUUCGUGUCUGGUGGUCGGCCGAUGGCGCUCUCGCGGGUGACGGUUGUGUCGGCUGCUGUAGUUGUGUUUACUGUCUUGCAGUUGGGUGUGUGGAUGAUGGCAGGCGGCGACGUUCCUCUUCUUCGACUACAUCGGAUGAAGUUGACGGCGUCGAGAUCUGGUGACCACGGGGAAGAUCCCCGGCCUACGUGCCACAAAGACUCGGUCUCGUCGCGGCGACCUGCUUCAACGGCUCAAAAAGCAUCUUUGUAUGCGAUGGUGCUCUCCUAG
rnacentral:rRNA from 1 species